AUGAACGCUGGCGGCGUGCCUAAUACAUGCAAGUCGAGCGAACGGACGAGAAGCUUGCUUCUCUGAUGUUAUCGGCGGACGGGUGAGUAACACGUGGAUAACCUACCUAUAAGACUGGGAUAACUUCGGGAAACCGGAGCUAAUACCGGAUAAUAUUUUGAACCGCAUGGUUCAAAAGUGAAAGACGGUCUUGCUGUCACUUAUAGAUGGAUCCGCGCUGCAUUAGCUAGUUGGUAAGGUAACGGCUUACCAAGGCAACGAUGCAUAGCCGACCUGAGAGGGUGAUCGGCCACACUGGAACUGAGACACGGUCCAGACUCCUACGGGAGGCAGCAGUAGGGAAUCUUCCGCAAUGGACGAAAGCCUGACGGAGCAACGCCGCGUGAGUGAUGAAGGUCUUCGGAUCGUAAAACUCUGUUAUUAGGGAAGAACAUAUGUGUAAGUAACUGUGCACAUCUUGACGGUACCUAAUCAGAAAGCCACGGCUAACUACGUG
rnacentral:rRNA from 1 species